GUUGUUUCUUAUGAUGGUCAAAUGAUCUGUAUACUUUUUGGUGAAAAUAAGAUUAAAACUUUUUGAGUUACGGCACAUUGUAACUAAAACAGGGGUGUGUUUUUUUUCACAUGUCGCACCGUAUCUCAAAAACAAUUCUUGAUUAUGGCUUAAAACUUUAAACACUUCUUAGUUAUAUUAAUCUUAAUAUCUGUAUACUUUUUGGUGAUGAUUCAAAAUUUCAUAUUUGAGUUAUUGAGUAUUUUGUAAAAAAGG
rnacentral:lncRNA from 1 species